GAUGGAUCUUUGUGAUCUCUCUGUUUCACCCAUUUCUGCUAAGGUCCCGAGGAAUUUUUAUGGCAGUCUCUGGCCAACUUUAGGAAGUCGUGACUAGAUGGGUGAAGGGCAGUAACUGCCUGUGGACCAAUGAGAAGUCCUGUCCUUCCCAGGCUUGGUACAAGAGGUCUUCUUCUUACCCUCUAAGAGAGGUCUGGAUGUUGUCCUUACAUCUUUAUCUGAUGGCGUUGGACAGUUUGUUUGUGUUAGUCCACCAAGAUCCAAUCAAAAUGUAGCAAACCUUUGUCCACUGUUACGGAGCGAGAGGGGCCCGGCCGUAAACUGGGCCCUGGAAUUCAUUACAACCCUGACACUGUAGCUAGUGCUUUUUCACCUACUGUCCCUGUUUCUACAGAUUUGUACGAUCCUGUGGUUGACAAUAACCCUGACAAUCGUUACAUUACCAGGCUUGGUAGAGUAAUUAAGCCUGUUCGUAGGCUGAUUGAGUCAAUGGUUCAACUUGAGACCUUACUUGGUGUGGAGUCCAUAUCUCCUGUUAUUCAUGUUUAAAUCUGUAUAGCAUUGCUCUUUGAUACUACUGAGUGUAAUGUAUUGUAUUUUUCUCAUGUGUAUACUGUUUAAGCAAAUGGUCUGAGUUUUUCAAAGUGUAAAAGGCACUUUGGUAUGCCUACAACAUGUGUAGUGGUUUGGCCAACUUCUUUCAUGUUUGUAUCCCUUAGUUGGGUAACUUUUCAUGUUGAGAGUCUUCACUGUUUUUUUUCUGGGGUGUAGACCAGUGGUUCCCAACCACAUUCCUGGAGUACCCCCAACACUGCACAUUUUGCAUGUCUCCUUGAUCAAGCACACCUGAAUCAAGUCAUCAAUUCAUUAGCAGAGACUCCAAGACCAGAAAUGGGUGUGUCAGACAAAGGAGACAUGGAAAAUGUGCAGUGUUGGGGGUACUCCAGGAAUGUGGUUGGGAACCAUUGGUGUAGACCAUGUCAUUCUCAAGAUCUGUGCUCUUGUUUUUGUUAUACUCUGGAAUUUUGUGUAAAUUCUGGGGGGUGAGUGUAACAGGUAUACAAAGUAUACAGCUAAAUAUUGUUAUAAUUCACACAAAAUUGUUCUAUUGUACGUUUUAUGAUACCUGAUCUAAAGGUGCGCUUCUCCUUUAAGUGAUGCGAGGUCACAGUAUGACCUAAUUUCCUGUCCUGUCUCCUCCUCUUCCCUUUUGAACUGUGAUUCAAUGGAAGAGGUAGGUUUCUUUUGUCAUCCUGUUAAUUUUAUUUAAUCCUUAUGUUAAUUAUAUCUUUUAUAUCUUUAUUUCAACCCAAACUUAUGUGUAAAGUACUAUUUUAUCUAUCCUUGGGAUUAUUUUUGUUAUUUUACAUUCUUUGAGGAAUAUUUCUGUCUUUUAUGUGAAACAAGCACAUGGUAAUGGAGGCGCACCAUAUUUGUUUUAUAGAGUGUUAUAAGGGCCACUCAAUCUGAGGCUGCUUAUUUGUCUCUAUUGAUACAGGUAUGUUUUUUUGUAUAUAUUUUCCUUAUGUUCAUGUUUUCUUCCGCCCCUUUUGAACUGUGAUUCAAUGGAAGAGAGUGUUAUAAGGGCCACUCAAUCUGAGGCUGCUUAUUUGUCUCUAUUGAUACAGUAAAAAGAUCCAGUGAAUCGGCUGCUUGCUGUCCCGUGUCUGUCUCUUCAUCCACACAACGUAACACAACGCAGACCAAGUUUUAAUACCCGGUGUCGCUGGCCGCACAUCACGCUGGGCAUAAGCGAGCCGCACGGGUUACAUAUAGUAGGGGAAAAGCAGUAGGCGAGCGAAAAAGUAUGUCCGAAACCGAAGUAUUCAUAAAAGAGUAGGCGAGAACUACCUGGGUGAUGUCUAAUCCUCGCGAGAUUCGGACGUGCGUCUACUUAAAGUGCGUCCGAAUAUGCCAACUUACCUACUAUAUAGUAGAGAAAAAUAGUACAUGAAAGAACUAGUAUGUCCGAAAUCCUCAGUAAUCAUAAAUGAGUAGUCGAGAAGUUCCCGGAUGGCCUACUGCUCCCGCCCAGAUUCUGAAGUGUUCAUCCGAUGGACACUCUUAUAUCCCAGGAGGCCACGGGAGAGGAUACGUCACACUCGAACACGGAGGAGAAAAGCAGCGCGGAUGUUUUCAAAUGUGAGUAUUAAAAACCAAAAACUUGGUUCCUUGUGUUAAAAUUGCAUUUGUUGAACUACUAUAGAGGUGUAAAGACGCCUGUCAGUGUAGUAUAGUUGUGAUUUUGCUGUAAAAACACGUUUUAUUGUGCUAAGAGGGGAGCUUCAAUAAACACACGUUCGUCUCCAAAGUGGAUUUACAUGAAUUCCAAACCAUAUACAUCAUAAAGUCGAUUACUAAAUGUUUAUUUAACAUCUGACAGGAAAACAUUCAAUAAGUAUUGCAGAUAAUGAGUACGUCACAAUAUGAAAUAUACAUCUGAGUGAUGUGUGAUGUAGAAUUCACUGUUGUCAGCACUUUACAUGAAUGUAAGUAAAUGUACAUGAAUGAAUGUAAAUAAACAAAUGUACAAGUAACUAGACCUAAGUUAUUUAUUUUAUUUGUCCGUUAGUAGCCUACUGUUGGUAAAUUAAGGAACAUUUGUGUUGGAUAAAGUGUUAACACAUCAUCAUGUAAAUGUAGUAUUGAGCACAUAAAUCUCAGAGGAAACAUGAAUCUUGUCUGAAUGUUACAGGGACAGAUGAGCACACGUGUUUAUCCGGUGGAAAGAGGCUGAUGAAGGAAUGAUGGCAUCAAUGGCUUUGAGGAUGAUCCCCAUGGAGUAACCUGGAGUAAAGUGUCUUGAUUAAGGACGGUGACAGCUGCGGAGAUAGAACCAGCAACAUUCUGCUUACCUUUAGCCCACUACACCACUAAAAUAAUAAAGCUGAAACAAAAAAAUAGCACGUAAUUGUAAAAAUAUUGAAUGAAAUAUGGCAGGAAACAGAAUUCUGACAUGAAUUAUUAAACGUUUCAAUCAGUUUAAAUGUUUUACAUGUAGUCUUGUUCAUGGAGAGCACAUGAAUGUUUGGAGCAGACACAGCAGCAGCCAGAUUGUCCCGCACAUCUUCUCCCACUCCUGCUUCAAGGUUGAGGGGUUCAUCAUCUCCCUCAUCCUCUGGAUCAAAGAUGUCCCCAUUGAGAGGAGCAGCAAUGAGGGACAUUAUAGAUGGCAAAGACAGGCAAAGGUGUUCAUGGUGGUCAGCUGCUUCAUCAGAAUAAAGCUGCAGAAUUGGCACAGCUGUGUGAGAUGGCAGCAGGGCUGAAAUAUGCGAUUGUAAGAACAAUAAGUUUGAAUAAAGCUUUGUUUCAUGUGU